AGUGAACGCUGGCGGUAGGCCUAACACAUGCAAGUCGAACGGCAGCACAGUAAGAGCUUGCUCUUACGGGUGGCGAGUGGCGGACGGGUGAGGAAUACAUCGGAAUCUACUUUUUCGUGGGGGAUAACGCAGGGAAACUUACGCUAAUACCGCAUACGACCUACGGGUGAAAGCAGGGGAUCUUCGGAUCUUGCGCGAUUGAAUGAGCCGAUGUCGGAUUAGCUAGUUGGCGGGGUAAAGGCCCACCAAGGCGACGAUCCGUAGCUGGUCUGAGAGGAUGAUCAGCCACACUGGAACUGAGACACGGUCCAGACUCCUACGGGAGGCAGCAGUGGGGAAUAUUGGACAAUGGGCGCAAGCCUGAUCCAGCCAUACCGCGUGGGUGAAGAAGGCCUUCGGGUUGUAAAGCCCUUUUGUUGGGAAAGAAAAGCAGCAGGUUAAUACCCCGCUGUUCUGACGGUACCCAAAGAAUAAGCACCGGCUAACUUCGUG
rnacentral:rRNA from 1 species